UCCAUUAUACUCAGGUGUGUACUUCUCUAGCCACCACUGUGGCAGGAAGUGUGAAGGAAGAGAGAGUGUGAUGAUGUCAUAAGGGCACCUAUGACUCUGGCAUCAGAAUGGCUUCCAACAGCUGAGUCUUUUCCAGUGAAUAUGUGGAACUCUUGUCCAUUCUUUUUUGCAGACAUGGCCACAAUUUGACUACAAAAGCAAGCCACUGGAAAUACUGGCUAAUUAGCACAAAGAGGGCACCCAGUUAUCAGCCUCCUGGGAGAGCAGGACACACACUGAGGAUACCUUUGAGGCGCCAGCUAGGGUACAAAUGUCUUUGACUGCUCUCCUGUCGCAGUCAGAAGAUGAGUCAGCACAGCCACUGCAGAAGCCGGCACCAUCUCUGCCUGAUACCGACCACUGAAAAGCCACCUGGUGCCGCAGAGUGUGUCAGUGGAAUAUGGUCAUCGUCAGCAUGGAUUGGAAGUCCUUGGAAUCUGAAGACUUGAGGAAUUUGUGAGACACAAAAACACAGGCCAGAUCUUUACCAAAAAAGGGAGCCAGUUUUCCUCACAGGGACUCUUCACACCAAGAUUUCAAUGUGGAACCCAGCUGGUUGGAAGUGAUUUCAUAUUGUUCCUGGAAAAGGCUGUGGGUCUGGAAGAUGUACUAUCAACAGUGGGCCUGGAUCAUUCACCACAGCACUUGGCAGAGGUGUGGGUGGAUAUACCACAUGCAAAGCAAAACUGCAGCCUGACCACCUGGUUUAUAUAGAAUCCCUGCCUCCACCUCUAAGCUGCCAGCCAUUUCUGUUCCAGCAGCCUUGCCAGUCUUGGCCUCAACCAGACUAAAUGAUCAAAGUUAUGAGCACAGCAUACAACAGUGUAUCAUACCCAAGCAAAAUCUUCAUGGUUGCUUUGUUCUGCUGUGUGUUCUUUAGUUUUAGGAAGCAUAGGUACUUAGAGAAAUAAAACUACCCACAUUUCACCCCCAGUGUCUGCCAAGAAGGGGUACUGGCUCACUCUUAACAAUCAACCCUCCUUGGGUAGUUCCAGAGAAACGGGCAGGUGCCAAUAUAAAUCUGGAAGUUUUGAGUUUAUGUCCUGCUUCUCACACAU